rnacentral:rRNA from 1 species
CUACGGGAGGCUGCAGUGGGGAAUAUUGCACAAUGGGGGAAACCCUGAUGCAGCAACGCCGCGUGGAGGAUGACACAUUUCGGUGCGUAAACUCCUUUUAUAGGUCAAGAUAAUGACGGUAGCCUAUGAAUAAGCGCCGGCUAACUCCGUGCCAGCAGCCGCGGUAAUACGGAGGGCGCAAGCGUUACUCGGAAUCACUGGGCGUAAAGAGCAUGUAGGCGGGUUAAUAAGUCAGAAGUGAAAUCCAAUAGCUCAACUAUUGAACUGCUUUUGAAACUGUUAACCUAGAGUGUGGGAGAGGUAGAUGGAAUUUCUGGUGUAGGGGUAAAAUCCGUAGAGAUCAGAAGGAAUACCGAUUGCGAAGGCGAUCUACUGGAACAUUACUGACGCUGAGAUGCGAAAGCGUGGGGAGCAAACAGGAUUAGAUACCCUAGUAGUC